AAUCAAGUGCCUUAAGGGUGUUCGGUGGAUGCCUUGGCGCUGAGAGGCGAUGAAGGACGUGCUACGCUGCGAUAAGCCGUGGGGAGCUGCGAAGAAGCUUUGAUCCACGGAUUUCCGAAUGGGGAAACCCACCUUCGAUAGCUGGAACUCCAAGAUCUCGUAUUUUGGGGUUUGAACAGCAAUGUUUGAGACCAAGCCGCGAGGUUUUGGAUUUCCAGUUAUCAAGUGAAGGUAUGAGACUUCCGAAUAAAAUAGGAGGUUUUAAGCGAACCCAGGGAACUGAAACAUCUAAGUACCUGGAGGAAAGGACAUCAAUCGAGACUCCGUUAGUAGUGGCGAGCGAACGCGGACCAGGCC
rnacentral:rRNA from 1 species